GUCAUUGUUCCAGUGCGGUUGUCUAUCAAUGGCAAAAUAAUGGCAUUCAUAUUGUCCAGGUUGCUAAAAAUAGCGCUGAUUGCAACACUUGCAUCGUCCUUUUCCGUUAGGAAUACCGUAUGUAACAUUAUUCUAUAGCCCAAAAUAACCGAACGCUGGCGAUUAUUCAUCCAAAAAUAGACUGUAGAUCGGUUAUUUCCGCGGAUAAGAGUGAAGAUUCUAUUUGAAAUUUCCGUGUGUAACCGUUUGUAACCGAUGGUUAACGAAUCAUUUCAGCGCGCAUGAUACUUUAUGACCUCCUUUUACGACAACCAAAAACCUGUUGAUUACUGCUAUUUCGAUUGUUUACAAUAUUGAAGAAAAUGACCGAUCUGACCAUCAUGAAGUUUCUACCAACGGAUUAAAACACCAAGGAGAUUGAGAAACAAGCCAAGAACAAAAUUUAACGGCGAUGGCAGUUGUCCGAGUUCGAUUCUGAGAGGUUGAAAUGGUCUGAUAGUGAGACCUAGAAGGCUAGAUAGAUAUUUGAUGUGUUGCAUAUUGCACAAACGAUUAAUUACAAAUCCAAUGGAAAGAAAGGUAUCAGACUUCACUGCGAGGACGGCAAACACCAGAAAAAAUCACUGAGUUGUGAAAACUGAGGUUCUGCCGGGUUCUUCUAAUGGUACUAAGAACACUGAAUCUAUGCAAGACAGGGUGGAUAAACAACAUGCCAUAACCAGUGGCACAUACAUAAACACACGCAGCAUCGCCAAAAGUUAGAAGGAUGACCUAAAGAAAAAUCUUAAAGGACAGAUCUUAUCACUGUAUAUCAAUGAGGCAACAAACAAUAACAAUGAUAAGAAUUUGAAUGUAAUUGCAUUGUAUAUUGUGAAAUAGUGUGGAAAUAAUAAAAUUACAAAUUAAUUUUUGAAAAAAAAA
rnacentral:lncRNA from 1 species